UUCUGGCUCAGGAUGAACGCUGGCGGCGUGCCUAACACAUGCAAGUCGAACGGGGUACAGACGCUGUGAGAAGAAGUGCUUGCACGGAAUCGAACUUGUUGUACUUAGUGGCGGACGGGUGAGUAACGCGUGGAAAACCUGCCUCAUACAGGGGGAUAACAGGAAGAAAUUCCUGCUAAUACCGCAUAAGCGCACAGUAUCGCAUGAUAGAGUGUGAAAAGAAUUAUCGGUAUGAGAUGGUUCCGCGUCUGAUUAGCCAGUUGGCGGGGUAACGGCCCACCAAAGCGACGAUCAGUAGCCGGCCUGAGAGGGCGGACGGCCACAUUGGGACUGAGACACGGCCCAGACUCCUACGGGAGGCAGCAGUGGGGGAUAUUGCACAAUGGAGGGAACUCUGAAUGCAGCGACGCCGCGUGGGUGAAGAAGUUAUUCGUAAUGUAAAGCCCUAUCAGCAGGGAAGAUAAUGACGGUACCUGACUAAGAAGCCCCGGCUAACUACGUGCCAGCCGCCGC
rnacentral:rRNA from 1 species